UACGUAGGAGGCAAGCGUUGUCCGGAUUUAUUGGGUUUAAAGGGUGCGUAGGCGGCUUUGUAAGUCAGUGGUGAAAUACUCUAGCUUAACUAGAGGGGUGCCAUUGAUACUGCAGAGCUUGAGUACAGAUGAGGUAGGCGGAAUUGACGGUGUAGCGGUGAAAUGCAUAGAUAUCGUCAAGAACACCGAUAGCGAAGGCAGCUUACUGGGCUGUAACUGACGCUGAUGCACGAAAGUGUGGGGAUCAAACAGG
rnacentral:rRNA from 1 species